AUUGAACGCUGGCGGCAUGCUUUACACAUGCAAGUCGAACGGCAGCGCGGGCUUCGGCCUGGCGGCGAGUGGCGAACGGGUGAGUAAUACAUCGGAACGUGCCCAGUAGUGGGGGAUAGCUCGGCGAAAGCCGGAUUAAUACCGCAUACGACCUGAGGGUGAAAGCGGGGGAUCUUCGGACCUCGCGCUAUUGGCGCGGCCGAUGGCAGAUUAGCUAGUUGGUGGGGUAAAGGCCUACCAAGGCGACGAUCUGUAGCUGGUCUGAGAGGACGACCAGCCACACUGGGACUGAGACACGGCCCAGACUCCUACGGGAGGCAGCAGUGGGGAAUUUUGGACAAUGGGCGAAAGCCUGAUCCAGCAAUGCCGCGUGUGUGAUGAAGGCCUUCGGGUUGUAAAGCACUUUUGGCGGGAACGAAAAGGACUGUGCCAAUACCACGGUUCGAUGACGGUACCCGCAGAAUAAGCACCGGCUAACUACGUG
rnacentral:rRNA from 1 species